AGGGAACAUGGGAUCAUGUCUAACUGAUUGCUUCUUUCUGACAAGAAAAUGCAAUGAUUGCCUCCAUGUGUCCUCUUGCUGCAUGCUGAAUGUCUGCACACAUCCUCAGAUGAAGAGCAGUGAUUCACUUUCUGUGAUUUAUGGCACCAGGGAGAGCUGGAUUUUGUGUCCUGAGGUGCCACUAGAAGUGCUGGAGAAGAUGAAAUAUCCGGAGGAGAAACAAGGAAGCUGGAGAAAUAAGUCUGACAUAAGGACAGCUGCUUAAAGUCUAUGUUAAAUCAAAGCUCCUUCGUGAUGCAUUUCUGCACAAAGAUCUUAACAGCAGUUGGAUGUGAUUUAGUUUGAGUUUGGAGCUGUAGGUCAAUUCAUUGUGACUUGUCCACAAUGUGGCAAUUGAGGAACUCCUGUAAGACUGUCCAUGGGUUUCUGUUGAGUGGAUUGGUUGCAACAAGUAGAGUGGCACAAUGUCAGAGGGAAACAUGAACACAGGAACUAUUUCUCUACUGGAAACCCCUAUCUGGUAGACUGAUAAAGUCUAAUUCAACUAAUUUUUCCUAAGUUGGGCAAGGAUUAGCUAUUGAACAAGAGGAACCAAGUGGGAAUGACUAACAUGUCAAAGUGUGCAGAAGUGAGAUCAUUUUCCCCGUGAGGAUAUCUUUUUUUGUGUGAUUCCUCAUCAGAAAACUAGAAGUAAAAGCAUUUUUUUUCUGAACAAACCAAGAAGUAAACUGUGAUGACAUUUCCUCAUUUUCAGUUUCCUCAAAGAAACUCAUAGUCUGAUUAUUCACUCAGAGACAUAUUCAUGGAUUUCUUUGCAUUCUAGGAAGAAAAGAAAAAUUGAUAAAUAAAUAAGUAGAGUUUAUACACAUAUUUUAAUAUUCAUUCACAAACACACACAUAUUUGUUGACUGACACCAGUUGUACCUUCACCUUCAUUCGGAACACUUCUGCUUUAGCGAGGGAGCUAAUCACAGCAAUAACUACCUCUUGUAAAUCUAAGGUGGGGUAGCCCUCCAUGUUUUCAAUAGUCUAGGAUUAAAAAAAAAAUUAAAAAAAACCCACAUAUAUUUUGUAGAAGGGUAUGUUGUUUGGAAGUGAUUUCAACUUUAUAGAGGAAAUAAGCUCUAAUUUCAGAAUUUGCCCAGAUGAUCUUUGUUAGAAGAUACGAAGACUAUGCUUCCAAUCAUUCUCCUUCUGUAGAAUGCUCGAUCUCUGUUUCAUUUGCUUUUACCUCUUAUUUAAUCCAAAGGGAAAAAAAAAAAAGUAUUCUGUCAGUAUGUAUAAUAAUGUCAGUUCCUCUUUCUAAGAUGGCAAUGACUAUUUUCUUCCGUAGCUGGGAAGAGUUAUUUGCUCCACUCCUGAAAGUCCAGGAGGGAGAGAACCGGCAUUUUUCAUAUUCAUCAGGCUCUGGCAAGCUUCUGCUUUCCCUGUUCUUUUUGUCACCUGCAUUUAUUUUAUCUAAGUCUAGGUUAAAAAAAAAAAAAAAACAAAAACAAAAAACAA
ensembl:lncRNA